rnacentral:rRNA from 1 species
GACGAACCGUGCAAACGUUGUUCGGAAUCACUGGGCUUAAAGGGCGCGUAGGCGGGCCAGCCAGUCUGUGGUGAAAGCCUCCAGCUUAACUGGAGAAGUGCCGUGGAUACUGCUGGCCUCGAGGAGGAUAGGGGCAUCUGGAACGGUCGGUGGAGCGGUGAAAUGCGUUGAUAUCGACCGGAACUCCGGUGGCGAAGGCGAGGUGCUGGGUCCUUUCUGACGCUGAUGCGCGAAAGCCAGGGGAGCAAACGGGAUUAGAUGACCCCCGGUA